AUGUCUCACGAACUCGCUUUUCGUUGUCGUGUCACCUCCAUUAUGGAAGCUUUGACAGCAACAGUCGUGCAAGAAAUCUGUCAAUUUAUGGGAGAAAGCUAUGCUGCUCUUCGAGUGGAAAUGUUGCAUGAACAAAAUAAAAAAGAGACAAGGAUGGAGAAGCCAGCGAACUGCCUUAAGAACGUUUCAAAACCUGUUAGCCCACCAAGUUUGGGAAACUUUCCAAUCGUGGGGCAAAUCCUCAAUAAACAAGAGGCCAACUAUCAUUGGCUAGAAGACGGUGCUGUUUUUGAAGGCCUAGCAUCACCGGUGCCAGAGACGGAGAGACGAGAGCCAUCACAGCCCGCUGGUCAGAUUACAGACACGGUACCAUGGCCAGUAUGGCUCAUCAAACAGGAGGAAAUGGCUGAUGAUGAUCUGGAAUCGGAAGGUUACGGCGAGUGGAUUCCAGAGACUCACAAGGCCAACCAGAAUAUCACAGGAGAAAGUGAUGAGGACGAGAGAAGUCCAGCCUCUGGGGGAUCCAAAGAACCUGGACUCGACGACUUCAAGAGAGAACAGAGUCCGUUGCUGGUGUCAGCUGAGGAUACUGCGACACCCAUAAAGACAAAGUAUGAAACGCGCAUGUUAAAACACACUGGGAAGCCACGUUUUCGCUGCGAUAUCUGCGGUGAGAAAUUCCAGCGUCAGAGCGGCUUGACCAGGCACCAGCGGCACAAACACAACACCGUGAAAACCUACAGUUGCACUGUGUGUGGGAAAGGGUUCACCUACAUCAAAUCCCUCAACACGCAUGAGCUCAUGCACUCUGACCUCUCUAUCCGUUCAACUAUAACUCUGGAUGAAGCCAAGGCAAGAAAAAGAGGUCUGACUGAUGAACCCACAGACAGAAAUGCAGCAGGAGAUAUGAUUAGUGCCAUCCUUCACUCAAAGCCAGGUGGAGAAAAGGUAUUCCGGGAGUAUGGGAAAACCAAAGGUCUUACGGAUAGCACACGGAGACUGAUGGUCAACAUUAUUGUGGCCGACAUGAUGGAAAACCAUGGGAUCCCCCCAUCAAGUGUCCGCACCAACUACGCCCUGGGGAUUGUGACUUUAUUCCCCUACUUGAAUGAUCCAGAUUCAGAGCAUGGUUAUGAACAAUAUUACGACGCAGCUAGUGGGUCUGGUUAUCUGACCUGGAGAAUAAAGACAGUGGGGCGCAACAAAUCAUGUAAGAUCAAGAGGAGAACCAAGUCCACCUAUCAAAAUGGUCCCAAGGCUCAACACAGUUCCCCUUCAGCUGUUGAGGAACUGUUAGGUGAUGAAUGCAAAGGCACAGCUAAGUUCCUCCUGCACGACGAGCAAGUGUCCAUGUCUGAGGUCUCUAUCUGCUCAGUUGGGUCUGAUUCCUCUGGAUCAGCUUUAACUCUGGAGAAAACGAAGGCAAGAAAAAGACGUCUGACUGAUGAACCUACAGACAGAAAUGCAGCCAGAGAUAUGAUUAGUGCCGUCCUUCACUCAAAGCCAGGUGGAGAAAAGGUAUUCCAGGAGUAUAGGAAAACCAAAGGUCUUACAGAUAGCACACGGAGGCUGAUGGUGAACAUUAUUGUGGCCGACAUGAUGGAAAGUCAUGGGAUCCCCCCAUCAAGUGUCCGCACCAACUACGCCCUGGGGAUUGUGACUUUAUUCCCCUACUUGAAUGAUCCAGAUUCAGAGCAUGGUUAUGAAAAAUAUUACGAUGCAGCUAGUGGGUCUGGUUACCUGACCUGGAGAAUAAAGACAGUGGGGCGCAACACGUCAUGUAAGACCAAGAAGAGAACCAAGCCCACCUAUCAAAAUGGUCCCAAGGCUCAGCGAAGUUGCCCUUCAGCUGUUAAGCAACUGUCGAGGGAUGAAUGCAGAGAGGCGAUAUCUGUGCUUCAGCAUACAACAACUAAUGAGUCACUGGUUCGAGAGAAGAUGAUGGCGACGUUCCAAUACAGACAGGAGGUGGUUCAUGAUCCGGAGAAGUCCUCAACUGUCCUAGAUGUCUUCCCCAGAUUCCUUGACACUACAGGCUUGGUAAGACUGUAUGAAUAGAAUUCAUCAUGUUUUAGUGAUUUUAAAAGAAAGUGGAAAGAUAAUUUUGUGAAUUUUUUGUUGUUGUUUAAUGUGCUUCAGAUCAACCAAGAUUUCACCAGACUUUUCGGAGAGGUGGUGUCUGGGACAUUUAUGGCGAAGUGGCCAACAUUUUUCAAACCCAGGGUCAUCGCAGAUUGCAAAACCCUUCCCUUCAGCGAACCUGUGGAAGACCUCCUCUCAUCUGCGCAGCAGGAAUCCAAUGAUUAUGGUACUAGUGCAGAAUUCAAAUAUGUUCUUUGGUAUUUCCAAUGACUUUUCUAACUUGACCAUACAAUGUCUGGGUGAAACUGGCAUGUGAGCUUUUACUGAGCAGUUCUUGUUUUUCACUGAAAAAUUAGGAUGGGAGAGUGACUUGGCAGCCAUUUUGUUGCUUCUGCAUCUCCUACCCCCGACCUCAAAGGGCCCAAAGACCGCAAAGAUCCGUACCUCUCAAGCUGCUGACCAUCUGGUUAGAUUUAUGAAGGUUUGUAUGUUCUGUGAUCUUUGUGCCUUUCUCCUUUCCUUAGGACAGUACUUGUUAACAAUACACAGCUCCUGUUUGCCACUGACAGUUUCACAUUAUGGUCUCCAGAGGUGUAGCCAAAUUCAAUAACAUCCCAUGUAAAUAGGAUAACCAUCCAUUUUAUGAAACUCUGAGCGCAUACGAGUGAAAAUAUAGUUAAGCUAAACCCUCAUCGCUAGGUUGCUUAGAUUAAGAUCAAUUUAUUGGUCAAUUGCACACAAGGUCCAACCGAAAUUUGACUUUCGCUUUUAACCCAACCCCACCGAAAGACACAUGCAUAUACAGGUUUUGGAGAGGUGUGGGGGGGCUGCUGUUGUGGGACGUAAAGUGCUUGCUCAUGGGCACAACGGACGGCAAUGGCAUCUAGAAUGGAACUGGAACCCACUGCCUGCUUGCUCACCUCUAAACGCUAGGCCAGCGUUUCCCAACUCAAGUACCCUCAACAGCACACGUUGCAUCCCCUGACAAACUCACUUGAUUCAACUUAAGGGCUUGAUGAUUAGUUGACAUGUUUCAGGUGUGCUUGUCCAGGGCUACAAUAAAAUGUGUACUGUUUUUAGGGACUGGAGUUGGGAACCACUGCGCUAGGCUACCUGCCUAGUGGUCAUGUGGUCUGCCCUCGGGAUUGUGGAACACGUUAUAUACUGUUGUCUUGUUCUCUUUUCCUCAGGUAGGGACAAGUAUGGUGACCUUCCUUGAGACAGUUAGACAUGAGCAGCAGCCCUUCCUCCUCUGUGUCGGUGAAAGGAAGAACAGCAUUCAGAAGUUUUACAUCGUCGUUGACCAGAAGGCCAUCCCAUGCAAGACCCAAACAUCAGUGGCAGCUUUUGAUGAGCUCUUUAAGGCACACUAUGUCUUCAGUGUGUCCUACCAUGAAGCGUUGUGUAACUUCUACACAUUCAUCCAGACCACCGUGUACGGUAUCGACGUGGGGAAGGCAAAGGAGUCCUCAAGAGUCAAGGAGAUUAGAGUAAGGCUGCUUAACAAAGACCAGGGGAGUGGUGCUGCCGGAGCACAAGGGAGCGGCGCUCCGGCCCUUUUCUCAAUUUGAGAAUAAGUUAGUUUAACAGCAUCUGCUCUAUUUCACUCCUGAAACAGUAACUCAAGAAGAUUUAAAUGCAUAUCCCCAUGAAGCUGAUUGAGAUCACAUGAUUGUCAUGCAGAUGCAGUCUGGACAUUUCACCGGUAAAACGCAAAGAAUUAUCAUUUACCAUUGACACUGAUGGCCUAUUUGUAAAUUAGAUAUGCCUGACUUGAUGUUUGAGGGUAUUACAAAUAUAACAUUUUAGUGAGAGUGUGGGCAGAUGGAGGAUGCAUAUUGUAUUAUAAUAUUCAAUAGGUUACAUCUGUCAGUACAAACUUUGAUUGUAAAAUUAUGUAAUUCACUUUUUUGGGGUCAGCUCCCACAUCUAACUAAACAAAUGGCACUAUACCACUGAGAAAACAUGUGAACACUUGAGAAUUUGUAAAAUACACUACAGCAGUUGUGCAUUGCUUUUUUUGACAUAAGAAAUUGUCAUGGUUUGUCAAAAUAUACUUGAAUCUGGACAGCAUAUACACUGAACAAAUAUAAAUGUAACAAUUUUACUGAGUUCAUAUAAGGAAAUCAGUCAAUUAAAAUAAAUUCAUUAGCCCCUAAUCUAUGGAUUUCACGACUGGAAAUACAGAUAUGCAUAUUUUGUUUCAGUGCGUUAAAAAAGGCUAGGGGCGUGGAUCAGAAAACCAGUCAGUAUCUGGUGUGACCACCAUUUGCCUAAUGCAGCAAGACAUCUCCUUUGCAGUGUUGAUCCGGCUGUUGAGUGUUGUCUCACUCCCCUUCAAUGGCUGUGCGAAGUUGCUGGAUAAUGGCGGGAAUUGGAACAUGCAGUCUUACGUCGAUCCAUAGCAUCCCAAACAUGCUCAAUGGGUGACGUGUCUGGAGUAUGGAAUUAUGUGCAGAUCCUUGCAACAUGGGGCCGUGCAUUAUCAUGCUGAAACAUGAGUUGAUGGUGAAGGAUUAGUGGCACAACAAUGGGCCUCAAUCUCGUCACAGUACCUUUGCAUUAAAAUUGCCGUCGAUAAAAUGCAAUUGUGUGUGUUGUCCGUAGUUUAUGCCUGCCCAUAACAUAACCCUCACUGCCACCAUAGGCCACUCUUAUCAACAUUGACAUCAAAGAACCACUCGCCCACAUGGCGCAAUACACGCCAUCUGCCUGGUUCAGUUGAAACCGGGAUUCAUCUGUGAAGAGCACAUAUCUACAGCGUACCAGUGAGCAUUUGCCCACUGAAGUCAGUUACCUCGCAGAAUUGCAGUCAGGUCAAGAACCUGGUGAGGACGAUGAGCACGCAGAUGAGCUUCCCUGAGACGGUUUCUGACAGUUUGUGCAGGAACUCUAAAGUUGUGCAAACCCACAGUUUCGUCAGCUGUCUGGGUGACUGGUUAUAGACAAUCCCACAGGUGAAGAAACUAGAUGUAGAGAUCCUGGGCUGGUGUGCUUACAUAUGGUCUGCGGUUGUGAGGCUUGUUGGAUGUACUGCCAAAUUCUCUAAAAUAAAGUGGAAGGCAGUUUAUGGUAGAUUACAUUACAUUAAAUUAUCUGGCAACAGCUCUGGUGGACAUUUCUGUAGUCAACCUGCCAAUUGCACACUCCCUCAAAACUUGAGACAUCUGCAGAAUUGGGUUGUAAUAAAACUGCACAUUUUAGAGUGGCCUUUUAUUGUCCUCAGCACAAGAUGAACCUGUAAUGAUCACGCUGUUUAAAUCAACUUUUUUGUAUGCCUCACCUGUCAAGUGUUUGGAUUAUCUUGACAAAUGAGAAAUCCUCAUUAACAGGAAUGUAAACAAAUUUGUGCACAAUUUUAGAGGAAUAAUUUCUGGGAUCUUUCAUUUCAGCUCAUGAAACACUACAUGUUACGUUUAUAUUUUUCAUUAUAAAUGAGAUUCUUCUGAUUUAAAUAAUUCGUUCUUAUUUUGUAUGUACAACACAAAUAUUGCGGGAAAAUGGAGGCCGACGAAGGUCGUCACUAGUUACCACAGCAGCAAAGUCAUAAAUCCCGCCUAUUUCUACAAUUUGUAAUUAAAAUUGUAUUUUAAUCCAAAUAUUAACUACACUGCUAACAAAUGAAGACCAAAAAGCAAAUUUCGUUUUUCAUAAUUUCUUACGAUAUAA
rnacentral:lncRNA from 8 species